rnacentral:rRNA from 1 species
UACGUAGGGGGCUAGCGUUGUCCGGAUUUAUUGGGCGUAAAGAGCUCGUAGGCGGCUUGUCGCGUCGACUGUGAAAUCCCGCGGCUCAACCGCGGGUCUGCAGUCGAUACGGGCAGGCUAGAGUUCGGUAGGGGAGACUGGAAUUCCUGGUGUAGCGGUGAAAUGCGCAGAUAUCAGGAGGAACACCGAUGGCGAAGGCAGGUCUCUGGGCCGAUACUGACGCUGAGGAGCGAAAGCGUGGGGAGCGAACAGG